AUGGCGAGCAAAGCGGUGCUGGAUAAAAGAUGCCAAGUUCCAGAUUUCUACUGGCCGAAGAUGAAGAAGGUGGAGCAUAGCGGGGAUUGGGGCUCCCUUGACGCCAACGACAAGAAACUCACAAUCGCCGUGACUCGCAUACUUCGCCUCAGGGCCGCGAGACUCCCCCCUCUAGGACAAGAGAAGGCCAGGCUAGGACUACAAGAACGCAACUCACAUCAUGAGGGUGAGCGCUGGGCUCGGCACCAAGUUGACGGUGAUGAAACACUAAGUCCUCUGCCACCAGCUCUUCCGCAACACCGGCAAGUUCAAGUUGUCGGCAGGGGUGGUGCCUUUGUGCAACAACUCUGCUAA
rnacentral:rRNA from 1 species